CGAGCACGCGCGUGUGGCAUAUCAAUAAGCGGAGGAAAAGAAACUAACAAGGAUUCCCUUAGUAACGGCGAGUGAAGCGGGAAGAGCUCAAAUUUGAAAUCUUCAAGGUUCUACCUUGACGAAUUGUAGUUUAUAGAAGUGUUUUCUGUUAGUGGAGUGGCAAAAGUUCUUUGGAAUAGGACAUCAUAGAGGGUGAGAAUCCCGUAUUUGGUCAUUCCUCCUAGCGUUGUGAUACACUUUCAACGAGUCGGAUUGUUUGGGAAUGCAGUCCAAAAUGGGUGGUAAAUUUCAUCUAAAGCUAAAUAUUGGCGAGAGACCGAUAGCGAACAAGUACCGUGAGGGAAAGAUGAAAAGAACUUUGAAAAGAGAGUUAAACAGUACGUGAAAUUGUCAAAAGGGAAGCGUUUGACACCAGUGUUGUUUUUCCGAAAAUCAAUUACGAAUGUUUUGUUUUUAAGAAGUUAUGACUUCAUCGGCUUGCUCCUUUCUUUACGAAACUUUCUUAAUGCACUUUUCGGUUAACAAGUCAACAUCAAUUUCUUUUGUUAGUAAAAGGGUAUGAGGAAGGUGGCUUUCUUUUCGGAGAAAGUGUUUAUAGCCUUGUACCUCUGCAAUCGGAGAGAUUGAGGUCUGCAGCGUAGAUCCUUCGGGGUUAGAUACAUUUGUGCUAAGUUAUAGCUUUUCAUAGACAACUUGUUGACUAUGCUCAGUCAUGUAGCUUACUCGCUUAUGCUAUUUUACCUACGCUUAGGAUGUUGAUGUGAUACUGCGAGCA
rnacentral:rRNA from 1 species